GGGUGAGAGGUAUAGUAUCUCUGAUAUACAGGGGGUGAGAGGUAUAGUAUCUCUGAUAUACAGGGGUGAGAGGUAUACUAUCUCUGAUAUACAGGUGGUGAGAGGUAUAGUAUCUCUGAUAUACAGGGGGUGAGAGGUAUACUAUCUCUGAUAUACAGGGGGUGAGAGGUAUAGUAUCUCUGAUAUAGAGGGGGUGAGAGGUAUAGUAUCUCUGAUAUAUAUGGUGAGAGGUAUAGUAUCUCUGAGAAACAGGGGGUGUGAGUUAUAGUAUCUCUGAUCUAUAUGGUGAGAGGUAUCGUAUCUCUGAUAUACAGGGGGUGAGAGGUAUAGUAUCUCUGAUCUAUAUGGUGAGAGGUGUAGUAUCUCUGAUCUAUAUGGUGAGAGGUAUGGUAUCUCUGAUCUAUAGGAGGUAAGAGGUAUAGUAUCUCUGUUCUAUAGGAAGUGAGAGGUAUAGUAUCUCUGAUCUACGGGAGGUGAGAGGUAUAGUAUCUUUGAUCUACGGGAGGUGAGAGGUAUAGUAUCUCUGAUAUAUAGGAGGUGAGAGGUAUACUAUCUUUGAUAUACAGGGGGUGAGAGGUAUAGUAUCUCUGAUAUACAGGGGGUGAGAGGUAUAGUAUCUCUGAUAUAGAGGGGGUGAGAGGUAUAGUAUCUCUGAUAUAUAUGGUGAGAGGUAUAGUAUCUCUGAUAUACAGGGG
ensembl:lncRNA